UACGGGGUGGGCAAGCGUUGUUCGGAAUUACUGGGCGUACAGGGCUCGUAGGUGGCCACCUAAGUCAGACGUGAAAUCCCUCGGCUUAACCGGGGAACUGCGUCUGAUACUGGAUGGCUUGAGUUUGGGAGAGGGACGCGGAAUUCCAGGUGUAGCGGUGAAAUGCGUAGAUAUCUGGAGGAACACCGGUGGCGAAGGCGGCGUCCUGGACCAACAUUGACACUGAGGAGCGAAAGCCAGGGGAGCAAACGGG
rnacentral:rRNA from 1 species